AGAGUUUGAUCAUGGCUCAGGAUGAACGCUGGCGGCGUGCUUAACACAUGCAAGUCGAACGAAGCAUUUUCGAUGAGAUCUUCGGAUGGAUUUGGAGAUGACUUAGUGGCGGACGGGUGAGUAACGCGUGGGCAACCUGCCCUGUACAGGGGGACAACAGUUAGAAAUGACUGCUAAUACCGCAUAAGCGCACAGUACCGCAUGGUACAGUGUGAAAAACUCCGGUGGUACAGGAUGGGCCCGCGUUGGAUUAGGUAGUUGGUGAGGUAACGGCCCACCAAGCCGACGAUCCAUAGCCGACCUGAGAGGGUGACCGGCCACAUUGGGACUGAGACACGGCCCAAACUCCUACGGGAGGCAGCAGUGGGGAAUAUUGCACAAUGGGCGCAAGCCUGAUGCAGCGACGCCGCGUGAGCGAAGAAGUAUUUCGGUAUGUAAAGCUCUAUCAGCAGGGAAGAAAAUGACGGUACCUGACUAAGAAGCUCCGGCUAAAUACGUGCCAGCAGCCGCGGUAAUACGUAUGGAGCAAGCGUUAUCCGGAUUUACUGGGUGUAAAGGGAGCGUAGACGGACUUGCAAGUCUGAUGUGAAAGGCCGGGGCUCAACCCCGGGACUGCAUUGGAAACUGUAGGUCUUGAGUGCCGGAGAGGUAAGCGGAAUUCCUAGUGUAGCGGUGAAAUGCGUAGAUAUUAGGAGGAACACCAGUGGCGAAGGCGGCUUACUGGAUGGUAACUGGCGUUGAGGCUCGAAAGCGUGGGGAGCAAACAGGAUUAGAUACCCUGGUAGUCC
rnacentral:rRNA from 1 species